AUGUAUAGCCCCUUGUGAGCAGUAAAGAAAUAAGAAACGUUAGCACGUCGGGCGAAAUGCUUAACGGUAUUUCGUCUGUCUUUACGUUCUGGGUUCAAAUUCCGCCAAGGUCGACUUUGCCUUUCAUCCCUUCGGGGUCGAUAAAUUAAAAACCAGUUACGUACUAGGAUCGAUCUAAUCGACUGGCACCCUCCCUAAAACUUUCGGGCCUUGUGCCUAGAGUAGAAACGAAUUAAAGAUAGUUAUGUUCGGUCUAUGGGGUUACUCUGGGUUUCGCGUCCAUUAAGUACUUAGCUUUACAGACCCUGCUUUCAUUCAGUUCAAGAGAUUUCAACUGAAGUCCUAGAACCCACAAGGCGAUCGCGUCGACUACAGAUAGCGGUCUAAGGGAGACAAUCCCUUGCGUUUAAUCCUUUGUCCGUGUGUUGAAUAAGUAACAAACGAAGUCUUUUCUUCCUCCACUUCGAAGAGAGGUUAUAAGCCACCGGCUAUUAAGGUCUGAGGAAAUACCGUAAAGCUAGUCGCCCAUAGACUGGCCAUAAUUAUCUUUAUCUAAUACAUACACACACACGAUUUUGCCAAAAAGAAAAAAAAACACGAUUUCGAAACUUUAAUUUCUUUCCCCCGACUCCAUCUUUUAUUUUGCACUUUUCGAAUUUUUUAAAUUUGUUUUUUUGUAAUCUUUGUGGAAAAAUACAAAGAUUACGAAUCUAGAAAAGUAUUUUUCUAAAUUUCAAAUUUUCUUAGAAAACAUUCCAUUUCGCCCCUCUCCUCUUCUUCACGCUUUUCUGGAUGUUUUACGUAGUGGAUGUUUGUUUGCGCAUGCGUAGAUUUUCCCAGAAAUAGCAGACGAAAAUUUAUCAAACCCUCACUAGAAAACUCGCUUACAGAACAAGGUGGACUUGUGACAAAUGAAAAAAGUACAAGCAAAUUUUUGUUACAAAAAAUCAUUGUCAUUUUACAACUCUUGUCAUAGGAUUUAUGAAAGAUAAACAACGUAAUCAGUCGCUAAAAUCUUCAAAUUUUGAGGUAUUUGCUUCUAUUGUAUGAAUUCUAAAAAAAAAAAAAAAAAUUUAACUUUAAUAAAAGCCUCACAUCUUGA